UACAGAGGUGGCAAGCGUUGUUCGGAAUUACUGGGCGUAAAGGGCGCGUAGGCGGUCCGAUAAGUCCUGUGUGAAACCCCUCGGCUCAACUGAGGAACUGCACGGGAGACUGUCGGGCUUGAGUUCGGGAGAGGGAAGCGGAAUUCCGGGUGUAGCGGUGAAAUGCGUAGAUAUCCGGAGGAACACCGGUGGCGAAGGCGGCUUCCUGGACCGACACUGACGCUGAGGCGCGAAAGCUAGGGGAGCAAACGGG
rnacentral:rRNA from 1 species